rnacentral:lncRNA from 1 species
CCCGGAUGACCGCCUUGCAGAACUUCUUGAGGCAUACACGCCCGGUGGAGUCGGCGACUUUGAGAUACUCGUCAAAAGUAUCCGCACUGACGCCGGUGGCUAACUGGCGGAUAGCCGACGUGCAUUUCUGCAACGGGGAGAGAGAGUCCCGACCUAUUGCAUCAGUGGUCAUCUGGAAGUAAGUAUCUUCACCUUGAACAGCCUCGACGAUGCGCAA